GAACAAAUGACUAAGGGAUAUCUACGUACCACAAGUUUACGGACGGAUGGGUAACUUGCUCCCUGAGAAUGCAGCGGCGGACGGGUGAGUAACACGUGGGCAACCUGCCUGUAAGACUGGGAUAACUCCGGGAAACCGGGGCUAAUACCGGAUAACUCUUAUCCUCACAUGAGGAAAAGCUGAAAGAUGGUUUCGGCUAUCACUUACAGAUGGGCCCGCGGCGCAUUAGCUAGUUGGUGAGGUAACGGCUCACCAAGGCCACGAUGCGUAGCCGACCUGAGAGGGUGAUCGGCCACACUGGGACUGAGACACGGCCCAGACUCCUACGGGAGGCAGCAGUAGGGAAUCUUCCGCAAUGGACGAAAGUCUGACGGAGCAACGCCGCGUGAGUGAUGAAGGUUGUCGGAUCGUAAAACUCUGUUGUCAGGGAAGAACAAGUACCGGAGUAACUGCCGGUACCUUGACGGUACCUGACCAGAAAGCCACGGCUAACUACGUGCCAGCAGCCGCGGUAAUACGUAGGUGGCAAGCGUUGUCCGGAAUUAUUGGGCGUAAAGCGCGCGCAGGCGGUUCCUUAAGUCUGAUGUGAAAGCCCCCGGCUCAACCGGGGAGGGUCAUUGGAAACUGGGGAACUUGAGUGCGGAAGAAAAGAGUGGAAUUCCGUUUAGCGGUUAAAUGCGUAAGAUUUGGAGAACACCGUGGGAAGGGGCGAAAUUCUUGGUUCUGUACUGAACCUAGGGGCAAAAGGGUGGGGGAGCAAAGGAUAAUUACCUGGUAUCCCAGCCUAACAUGAUUUAGUUGUAAAGGUUCCCUUAUUGUAAACUUACUCCGGGUAGGCGGGGUAACAAGAGAGCUGCAGAGGGUCGUUAAUAGAACAACUAUCCCAACAUCGUUAAUACUA
rnacentral:rRNA from 1 species